UUUGUGUGUGUUCUGGUCGUACAAAACACAGGAGCCAAGAAGGGCUCUCAAGCUCAAACCCUAACAAGCAUAAAAUCAACAAAUUGAAGGGGUAAAUCCAACCUAAAUCGAAAUCCAAGCACGAAUUCAUGAUCACCUCGAUGAAGGGAUCAUAAGUUUGACUCUUGACAAGCUAGAUGGAGGCUUGGGGAAAGAAGCGGGUCAAACGGAUCGUAUACGCGGAAAAGAGCAUAAUCCGGAUACUAGGUAAGUUAAAGCUUACACCUUUUAUUAACAACUAUUGGUUUUAUAGAUUAUGAAUAAUCGAAAGUCAUAUUUGACUUAUGAUGUUUUGACCCGUCAUGUGCGGUUCGGAACAAAAUACAUUAAUGAUAAACCAUGUUGAAUGAUUAAAAAGAGCUAAUAAGAUCAUUUAGUCAUGCAAUGACUAAUAAAUAACGAGUUCUAAAUGAUUACCUUGUAAGGUAAAUCAAUACAAUUAAUAAGGGUUAAACGGUAAGGUGGUCACUAGUUGACGAUAACCGUUAGUUUUGAAGGACACUUUAUGGCGUAAGAUAUAAAGGGGUCAAAAUGAUCAAGAAAUAGAUUUAUAAGGAAAAUUGACCGUACGGUGUAAACCGGUACAAGUCAUGUAGACGAGAUGAUGAUAAAUCCAUCUCGCAAAAGUAAACGAUCAUUUAGACCAAACGGGUCAAAAGGUGAAAAUAUCACCCUUUGACAAUAUCGACUAAUGGUUUGUCGAGUUGUAUGAUUACAGGAAUAAAUAUCGAUUGAAUGUUGACAUCGCUAUUACUUAGCGGCUACUAAGGCAAGGUAUCGAAACGGGUCAAUAUAUUGAUCCGAGCCAGGUUUGUAUAAUGAUUCAACUCGUCAUGUAGAACUUGAGGUUCUAUAAGUGUUAGACAAGGAUAAAAUAUAGAUAUUCGGUUAUCAUUAAGGUAAACCGAAUAAAUUGGGUCAUGAUUAUGGUAUUAUAGAAAUAUAAUGGUUUCUAAACAAGAUUAUAGUUUUAAAAGUGAGAUUUUGGUCGAACAUGGCUUUAAAGGUCCUUCGUCGUAAUAGGAGGGGUAAAAGUGACCAAAAUGCUCUUAUAAGUUAAAUUAAGCAAACGAUCCCUAAAGGUUGCUUAGAAAUGAGUUUUGUAACCAAAUAGAUACUUGUAUUAAGUAUAAAAAGUGAAAUAUGUGAAUCUUUGGGUCAAAUGACUCUAUAUGAGUCUUUGCCAUAAAAUGAUAAUCCAAAGGGUAAAACUCGGAAUAAAUAGAUCUCCACAUUAAAUCCUCCACACAUAUAGUUGUGGUGGAAGAUAAAUUGAUAAAUAAUAUGGAAGUACAAUGCUAGAAGUGAAUGGGUAUGAAUUAUGCGGUAAAAGUGCUUAAAUACCCUUAACGGGUCAAAAUAAGCUUCUAAGUCAAAACGGGUUAAAGAAGGUAUACAAACCCGUGAUUUUGAGCCUAAUAUAAUAGGAGAUAUUGAAAUUAUGAAGUUCAUGGGUUUAAAGAUCAAAUAGGCAUGUUUGUUUGAUAAAAUCACGAACGGGUCAAAAUUUGGUAAAAAGGGUAAUAAGCCAAAGAUUUAAAAGUCUUAAAUUUUUGUUAAUCCGGAUGUCGGAUUUUAACUCCAUAUGAUGGAGAAUUAAAUUACGGACGCGUAGGAAAAAGAAUCGUGUAAAACGGAUUAAAAACGAGAGAGUUAUGUCCGUUUCGGUCAGAACUAAUGAAAAAUAGACGUGCAGAGUUGACACGGGCGGGUGACUUUUUGACACGGCCGGGUGGCUGGGCUGUGAAAAAUAUAUGUUAACUGACACGGCCGGGUGGCUUUUUGACACGGCCGGGUGAAGGGGCUGAAAACAAAACAAAAAUAAUUUCUUGUUUUGUUACGUUAAGCACGGAACUUGUUUAUACUCGAUUAUUAAAGUGUCAAAACUAAUUAUUUACAUGGUUUUGACCGUAGGUGAAGAUGGACCUAAUCCGGAUGAAGAUCAAGCGGCGAGCAAGAACCGAACACACGUUAAAUGAAGCUUCCGCGUCAAAUCCUGAUUUGUAUUGAUAUAAGUGAAUUAUGUAAACACUUAUAAAUUGUUUUUGAAAUGUUGUAAUCAUUUGGGAAUGUUGGUAUAACAAGUUUUUUUAAAGACACAUUUUAGCAUAAAAAUUUAUAUCUUUUAUUAAAAUAUUAAUAAAACCAGACGGGCGUUACAAGUUGGUAAUCAGAGCUUAAGGUUAAAAAGAAUAAAGUGUUCGGUUCGAGGCUUGAUCGCAAAUCCGGUAAGUACUAGUAUGUUAAUGGUUUAGCGUGUUAAAGUGUUGUAAACAACACAUAGGGUUAUCGUGUAAUACACAUUACCCUAAUUCAAAUGAUUAAUAUAGUUGAUGAAAAUACGCGCGUUGACGCAUAUAGUAGAAAAAGCCUUGUAUUAUAAUACGGGCGAUUACUGAAGUUGAUAUUAUUAACUCUUGUAAAUGUUUUAGUUGAAGGACACUCGCAUCUAAAGAUAGCGGGAGUCUAACAAAUUGCGGACUUGACGGAGGAACGGUCCAAAGUACUACAAGUAGAACAUACUCACCAAGGACCUAAAUCACGCAGCGAUCGCGAACAAGGCUAAUGGCAAGAAAAGCCUAUCAGGGCAAGCGUUACCAGUUUGACUCUUGACAAGCUAGAUGGAGGCUUGGGGAAAGAAGCGGGUCAAACGGAUCGUAUACGCGGAAAAGAGCAUAAUCCGGAUACUAGGAAUAAAUAUCGAUUGAAUGUUGACAUCGCUAUUACUUAGCGGCUACUAAGGCAAGGUAUCGAAACGGGUCAAUAUAUUGAUCCGAGCCAGGUGAAGAUGGACCUAAUCCGGAUGAAGAUCAAGCGGCGAGCAAGAACCGAACACACGUUAAAUGAAGCUUCCGCGUCAAAUCCUGAUUUGUAUUGAUAUAAGUGAAUUAUGUAAACACUUAUAAAUUGUUUUUGAAAUGUUGUAAUCAUUUGGGAAUGUUGGUAUAACAAGUUUUUUUAAAGACACAUUU
rnacentral:lncRNA from 1 species